ACUCACAGCUUGGUGUGUAUAUUGUAACAAUGUGUUUCUUUAUUUCAUUGCUCCAGAUGUGUCAUGUUCACUCAUCAUUCACAGAUAUCCGGCCCUUCUUCAUACAGCUUGCCCCCUCCCCACAUUCACUGCUUGCUGUGUCAUAUUCACUCAUCAUUGACUGAUGACCCCUGAACAGAUUUCCGGCCCUUCUUCAUACACCUUGUCUUCCACCUUCACAGUCAUGGCACAACACUCAGGAGUGCUGUGAGUUGCAUGACACCUGCAGAGGCUCCAUACUACAGACUACUACUACUCGGUACUACAGAAACCGGAUCACUUGACAAGCCUGUGUCCUGUUUUGGCCUUCCACACUCUGUAGGAUUGCAUAGGCUCCAUUUCUUCUCCCACAUCACCAUUCCAAAACAACUCCAGAUGUUUCGUUUGUAUUAUGGCCAGUUUCUUUACAUCUGUUACACUACCUGUGUUUUGCACCCAAAACUGGACUGCUCUAUCUGUUUCUUGUUUUUUAUCAUUAUCACUUGCAUUGCUGUAAAUAUGUUCCAUUAGCUCAGUUUUGCAACUAUGAAGUGUACAGUUUUGUUGUUGUAUUACUGUUACGCUGAGCAAAAAGAAACCUCAAACCUUACUCUUAGGCCUAUGUGAAUUCUUCAUGCGUGUCGUGCUCUGUCAACAGUUUGAUGCUUACAAAGCAUUCCAAGUGUCUGUAUGAUGUUCUACCAUUAUGCUAUGCCUUCACACAGUUAAUAACAAAAGGUAUACAGUAUUAAAAAUGCAUAUUCACACUA